GAACGCGAAGAACCUUACCAGGUCUUGACAUCCCUCUGAUCGCUCUAGAGAUAGAGUUUUCCUUCGGGACAGAGGUGACAGGUGGUGCAUGGUUGUCGUCAGCUCGUGUCGUGAGAUGUUGGGUUAAGUCCCGCAACGAGCGCAACCCCUAUUGUUAGUUGCCAUCAUUUAGUUGGGCACUCUAGCGAGACUGCCGGUAAUAAACCGGAGGAAGGUGGGGAUGACGUCAAAUCAUCAUGCCCCUUAUGACCUGGGCUACACACGUGCUACAAUGGCUGGUACAACGAGUCGCAAGUCGGUGACGGCAAGCUAAUCUCUUAAAGCCAGUCUCAGUUCGGAUUGUAGGCUGCAACUCGCCUACAUGAAGUCGGAAUCGCUAGUAAUCGCGGAUCAGCACGCCGCGGUGAAUACGUUCCCGGGUCUUGUACACACC
rnacentral:rRNA from 1 species